UACGGGGGGGGCAAGCGUUGUUCGGAAUUACUGGGCGUAAAGGGCUCGUAGGUGGCCAACUAAGUCGGACGUGAAAUCCCUCGGCUUAACCGGGGAACUGCAUCCGAUACUGGAUGGCUUGAGUUCGGGAGAGGGAUGUGGAAUUCCAGGUGUAGCGGUGAAAUGCGUAGAUAUCUGGAGGAACACCGGUGGCGAAGGCGGCAUCCUGGACCGACACUGACACUGAGGAGCGAAAGCCAGGGGAGCAAACGGG
rnacentral:rRNA from 1 species